AGCUUUGCGCAGUGGCAGAAUCGUAGCCAAUGAGGUGAAUCCGAGGCGCGAUUAUUGCUAAUUGAAAUAAGGACAGGAUGUCAUCCAGAGAGACC
rnacentral:snRNA from 13 species